GCUUUUUUAGUUUAUAGAAAAUAUUAUUUUGUGGAAAUAAAGAAGAAAUUUAUCAAAUAGCA
rnacentral:tRNA from 1 species